AUAUAUGCCCGUGCAACUAUUUCAAUAAGUCAAUCAUUUGACUGGUAGCAAAUGAUUGAUUUAUUGAAAUAGUUUCAUGGGCCACUAUGGCUCAGCAGAGAGAAUUUUAGGUGUGUAAAUGAAGGGUCAUAACGUGGUUGGGCAGGGUUCUCUCUGCAGUUUAGUAAUAGCAGCAACAGCUACUUUCUGAAGAGGAUGGUGGGUACGGGGCUACCCUCUUGAAUGAAGGAAUGAAGCAUGGUCACUUACCUGUCAGUCCAGGGGACGUCUUGUUAGCCAGACGUCCACUUAAAGCAGCACUCACAGAAGCUGUGCACGGGCUCCUGUUCAGUUUUCAUGCACGCUCUUUCAGAAAUGCACUUAGCAUUCUUCACAGGUUAUGGGAUAGACUUACCAUUUAUGGAAAGGAUUUUUUUAAAUAAACUGUACCUUUUUCUCACAUCAUAUAUUAAAAUGUGAAUAAAGCUCCUGACAUAAGAGAUGACUGGCUGACUGAGUAUCACAAGGAUUUAUAGCUCAGACAUGAGAUUUGAAAAGAGAAUUUUUUUCUUUUUUAGAAUGGUAGUAUGGAACAUUCUGGAAUGGUAGUAUCAAACUGGAGUGAACUGUGCACCCCGCACAUUUGACUGGAGUGAUUUUUCAUUGUCAUUAUUUGCAGGUAGAGAGGCUAUAGGUACCUGCUGGGGAAGAGGGAAAGGACCAGAGAACAUCUAAAAAUGCUGUAGCACACAGCAGCACCCAUCCAACCAAGUAUCUGUCCAGUUGCUAAGGUCGAGCAGCUCUCCUGGGAGACAGGAAAAGCUUCUGUUGGACUUGACAGGAAGUAGAGCCAUGCACAUGGAAAGAGACUCGUGGCAGUGUAGACAUUGGUGGAUUCCUCCGAAGGGACUCGAUGAUGCCCCUUCCAGAAUAGUGUCCCUAGAAAGAGGUAAAGCUGAGUUAGACCUAUGACUGGAGAAGUCUGGGCAAGGGAGACCCCAGAUGGCCUCUCGGCAUUUGCCCCAGCAAUUGCACAGACAGAACGUGAAAAGCCACCCCAUCCUGCUGCAUGAGAGUAGAACUGGGGCCCUGUAAGAAAUGAGUGCAUGUCUGUAAGGAACUGAUAGACCCAUGAUUGAUUUCCAAAGAAACACUUCCACACUUUCAGUUCUCUGUGACUCCUUAACAAUUAAAGGGCCAAAUGCCAAGACAUGCACGUGUCCUGGUAGAAUAGGAAUCGGACUGUGCUACAGAAAAACACACAUAUUUCACAUAUACCUGUGACUGUGAGCUUUCUGCUAUACGUAGGAUAGCUCACACUGCACAUUACACGUGAAGGAAGUCGGGCCUCAUCUCUGCAGCAAUGAUGCUUCCCGGAGUGGCUCUCGGUGAGAAUACCCUUAUUCUGAUCAACUCCAAUAGCAUCGGGCUUCAUCGAAACAGGGAGUUAAUGAGUUCUGUCUUCCCAGAAAUCCAGGCUGACCUUCUAGAAGCUCAAACUGGGGAUCUGGCGACCUCCAGAAUAAGGCUGAUAACAUGCAUUAACAUCCGCAGGAAGCCAUAGAUCACUCUUGAUUUUAGGAAGCUCAGAUUUGUCCUAGACGUUCUUGGCUGUGAAUUCGGUGAAUGCGUGUGGAAUGAGCACCAGCAGCUCAGGCUCCUUCCCAUUAGUCCUCACAAAACGGGCUUCUCUAGGUGACUUAACGCUGGUGGUUCAGAUUCGCAUGUAUGUGACCAAGGAACAACUCCAUAUUUUCCAAAAAGCCCAGAGAACAUAAAUCAUGUGUCCCUCUCCUUUCUCCUUGUGUUGGUCAUUUUGGGGAGCUACCAGAAGACGGUUGCUACGUGGACAUCCUCAUUCAACCCUGAAAGCUGCUGUGAGGAUGACUGUAGGCAAACUAUUUGAAUGCAGCAUUCUCUCCUGAAGAGAAACGGAGUAAAGAAAGACAACAAAGUAGAACUCUCCUGUAACUAGCAGCAACUGAAAACAUACAGUGUAUCUUACAUCUUGUUCCAUUAUUAUCCAGAUCUACGGCCCCAAAACAAAUUGAUAUCCCUCAUAAGGGGGAAAAUACGUGCGUAUUAUACUUCCCAAGUUCAAUGGUUGUCAGAAGAAUCUGUGUUUCUAGAUGCAUCCUGUCACGUUAAUUCAUUCCAGAGGGGCAAGCAACUGGAAGCAAACCAGACAAGCAUGAAAUCAACAGAAAGGCAGAAGGAGAUGAGUGAGGUGCGGAAGAGCCCUGCUUUGUUGGGGCAGGCCCACUCUUGCCUCUCUGAUUAAUGUACCUUUCUCAGGGUUUAGCCAUGAUCUUUCUCAAAGUAAACUACCUUUGAUGAAUUUGGGUUAAAAAUAAUACUCAACUUUUUCAUCCAGUCGAAAGUUGUAUUUAUUUUCACUGUCUUAGAAUUAAAUAUUUAUGUGUGUGCUGUGUUCAUUUUAAAUAAAAGGAGUAAAAAU
rnacentral:sRNA from 1 species